rnacentral:rRNA from 1 species
AGGACGAACGCUGGCGGCGUGCUUAAUACAUGCAAGUCGAACGGAAUCGAUUCGGUGGCAACACCGAUGAAAAUUGAGUGGCGAACGGGUGCGUAACACGUGAGCAACCUGCCCCAAAGACUGGGAUAACACCGGGAAACCGGUGCUAAUACCGGAUACCCCCACGGAUUCGCAUGGAUCUGUGAGGAAAGGAUUCUGCUUUGGGAGGGGCUCGCGGCCUAUCAGCUUGUUGGGGGGUAACGCCCACCAAGGCGACGACGGGUA